GCCUAUGGGUCGUAAACUUCUUUUCUUAAUGAAGAAAUAAGACGGUAAUUAAGGAAUAAGCAUCGGCUAACUCCGUGCCAGCAGCCGCGGUAAUACGGAGGAUGCAAGCGUUAUCCGGAAUUAUUGGGCGUAAAGGGUUUGUAGGCUACUUUUUAAGUCUACUGUUAAAGAAUAAGACUUAACCUUAGAAAAGCAGUAUGAAACUAAAAGGAUAGAGUUCAGUAGGGGUAGAGGGAAUUCUCGGUGUAGUAGUGAAAUGCGUAGAUAUCGAGAGGAACACCAAUAGCGAAAGCACUCUACUAGGCUGUAACUGACGCUAAGAAACGAAAGCUAGGGGAGCCAAUGGGAUUAGAUACCCCAGUAGUCCUAGCUGUAAACGAUGGAUACUAAGUAUUGGAUAAUAAAAAAUUCAGUGUUGUAGCUAACGCGUUAAGUAUCCCGCCUGGGGAG
rnacentral:rRNA from 1 species